GAUUGCCACCCCAACCCCUCCGCAGCCAGUGAAUCACCGCCCCUCUGCAGCCGGCGUAGAGCUCGAUCCUGGAUCGCAAUUUCCAGCGAACCCCAUCUCUACAAUUCUUUCUUCGCGCAGCCUGUAUCACGGAAAAACUCCGAAGAAAGUCUGUGGGUUGCAGCCUGAAUCAGAGGGUUGCUCACCAAGCCAUCUGUACGAGGGCGACACCAAUGGGUUGAACAGGGUCUCCUAUUUUCGAGCAUCGUAUCGCCCCAUUCCUCUUGAUGGAGUCAAAGCUGCCACCGCUUUGGGUUGAAUCAGGGUAAGUUGAUGAUAUCCACAGCUUCGAAACUUAGUUAAUCGGGUCUUAUUGCACUAAAUGAGUUGGCAAAGAUUCGGACCAUGGAUGAGCAUUAUGAAGCUAAGUUUUUAAUCUCCUUUGGCUUUGUUGAUUUUUUGUGAAUCAAUCAUGUUUCUCUUACAACUAUCCUAGUUGGCGUUGAUUUAAACACUUGAGUGCUGAUGUUAAUUAACUAAGAUAUGGGCUUUACAUGAUAUUCGUGGGAGAAUCGAAUAGUAGAGGGCUCGUCUGGGGAUUUUGUUCUUGAAAUAUUUGCAUGAUUGAUAGUUUGAUUUUCAGUUUAAGUUGCCCCAUGAAUCUAUCAUAAUGAUGAAUAUUUGUCAAUGAAAUUUUGGGACCAAUAUUGCUAGAUUUUACUAAGAUUCUGCUAUAAUUUUGGGCUAAUAUUGGGAUUGAUUUUGCUGCAAUUUUGCUAUGAUUUUGCACUGUCACGUUGAGAAGGCAACAUAUGGAAAGGGUUAAAUUGCAUUCGAAAUUACCUUCAAAUCUCUACAUCAAUUUUGCUUAUUAUUUUAUCUUAUGGGACACGGGUGCUGGUACUUUCCAGCUCUGAUAUAGCCUGUGCCGCCUCACUCUAUCCUUGUUCCUAGUUUCCCAAAUCCAAAAACAUUUCCAUGAUUUUAUCCAUUCAUGUGAGAGCUCUGAUUUCCCUUUUUUUGUUGUGGGCUAAAAGAUGCAGAUAUUGAACCCCUAAAAUUGCAUAAAAUCGGGCGAGGAACAGAACCUCUGUCAGCUUCUGGCCAAUUGCUCCACUCU
rnacentral:lncRNA from 1 species